rnacentral:misc_RNA from 1 species
ACUCUUCAACUCUACCGUUUCUUGUAAACGGUCAGAAGUUUGGAUUUUGAAUGUUGCUGGUCUUCGGAUCUUAGCUCGUUCGUAAUGCAUUAGCAUUUCUAAUUCGAAUUCGGAUUGACUCAGUGUAAUAGACUAUUCGCUGGGGACACUACUUGUAGUGGCCGAUAUUUAACUAAGGAAAGCUUCAAGCCUAUUGUAGUCAAUUUUAG